rnacentral:rRNA from 1 species
UAAACGACUCUCGGCAACGGAUAUCUCGGCUCACGCAUCGAUGAARAACGUAGCAAAAUGCGAUACUUGGUGUGAAUUGCARAAUCCCGUGAACCAUCGAGUUUUUGAACGCAAGUUGCGCCCGAAGCCAUUCGGUUGAGGGCACGUCUGCCUGGGCGUCACGC